AGGACGAACGCUGGCGGCGUGCCUAACACAUGCAAGUCGAACGGGGAUUUGUUCGGCAGAAUCCUAGUGGCGAACGGGUGAGUAACGCGUAUGCAACCUGCCCCCCGACCGGGACAAAACAGCUGGAAACGGCUGCUAAUAUCCCAUGGCUACCCCGGGUGGCAUCACCUGGUGUAUAAAGAUUCAUUGGCCGGGGAUGGGCAUGCGUAUUAUUAGGUAGUUGGUGGGGUAACGGCCCACCAAGCCGACGAUGAUUAGGGGUUCUGAGAGGAUUAACCCCCACACUGGAACUGAGACACGGUCCAGACUCCUACGGGAGGCAGCAGUAGGGAAUAUUGGGCAAUGGAGGCAACUCUGACCCAGCCAUGCCCGCGUGAAGGAAGACGGCCCUAUGGGUUGUAAACUUCUUUUAUCGUGGAGUAAACCCGGCCACGUGUGGCCGGUUGAGAGUACACGAGGAAUAAGUAUCGGCUAACUCCGUGCCAGCCGCAGC
rnacentral:rRNA from 1 species